rnacentral:rRNA from 1 species
GGCGCUUUGGCGUUGGCAGCGGUCCAAGUUCCUUGGAACAGGACGUCACAGAGGGUGAGAAUCCCGUACGUGGUCGCUGGCCUUCGCCGUGUAAAGCCCCUUCGACGAGUCGAGUUGUUUGGGAAUGCAGCUCUAAAUGGGAGGUAAAUUUCUUCUAAAGCUAAAUACUGGCCAGAGACCGAUAGCGCACAAGUAGAGUGAUCGAAAGAUGAAAAGCACUUUGGAAAGAGAGUCAAAUAGCACGUGAAAUUGUUGAAAGGGAAGCGCUUGCAGCCAGACUUGCCUGUAGUUGCUCAUCCAGGCUCUUUGCCUGGUGUACUCUUCUGCGGGCAGGCCAGCAUCAGUCUGGGCGGUUGGAUAAUGGCCUCUGUCAUGUACCUCCUCUCGGGGAGGCCUUAUAGGGGAGGCGUAGUGCGACCAGCCUGGACUGAGGUCCGCGCAUCUGCUAGGAUGCUGGCGUAAUGGCUGUAAGCGGCCCGUCUUGAAACACGGACCAAGGAGUCUAACAUCUAUGCGAGUGUUUGGGUGUCAAGCCCGAGCGCGUAAUGAAAGUGAACGGAGGUGGGAUCCCUUUAGGGUGCACCAUCGACCGAUCCUGAUGUCUUCGGAUGGAUUUGAGUAAGAGCAUGGCUGUUGGGACCCGAAAGAUGGUGAACUAUGCUUGAAUAGGGUGAAGCCAGAGGAAACUCUGGUGGAGGCUCGCAGCGGUUCUGACGUGCAAAUCGAUCGUCAAAUUUGGGCAUAGGGGCGAAAGACUAAUCGAACUAUCUAGUAGCUGGUUCU